CCUACGGGGUGCAGCAGUGAGGAAUAUUGGUCAAUGGGCGGGAGCCUGAACCAGCCAAGUCGCGUGAGGGAAGACGGUCCUACGGAUUGUAAACCUCUUUUGCCGGGGAGCAACGGGGUCCUUGCGAGGGCCCAAUGAGAGUACCCGGAGAAAAAGCAUCGGCUAACUCCGUGCCAGCAGCCGCGGUAAUACGGAGGAUGCGAGCGUUAUCCGGAUUUAUUGGGUUUAAAGGGUGCGUAGGCGGGCUGUUAAGUCAGCGGUCAAAUGUCGGGGCUCAACCCCGGCCUGCCGUUGAAACUGGCGGCCUCGAGUGGGCGAGAAGUAUGCGGAAUGCGUGGUGUAGCGGUGAAAUGCAUAGAUAUCACGCAGAACACCGAUUGCGAAGGCAGCUUACCAAGCUACUUCUGACGUUGAGGCACGAAAGCGUGGGGAGCAAACAGGAUUAGAUACCCGAGUAGUC
rnacentral:rRNA from 1 species